UAUUCACACAUGAAACCCUAGCCUCCAUCAUAAGGAAGAAACACACUACAGUGGGGAAGAGAGGAGGCGGCCCCACUUUUGUGGGAGAGGUUAGAUUUGUGGUAGAGUACCGACACGACACGUGAUGACGUUAAUCCUUUGGGAGAUUUUGAGUUGUUAAGUGUGCAGGAAAAAGGGUCUAAACUCAUGCAAGGGAUACCGAAGGCAAAUCAACUGUAAAAGAAUGCAAAAAAGGUACAAAUUGUUCAGUAGACCGCACCGUGGAGUUAGAGUACAGGAGGAGGUUGGCUUAGAAGAUUCAGAAGGGCAGAAAUGUCAAACCAAUAUAGGAGUAUCCAUAGGGAUUGAGGUCACAUCAUCCUAAGGGCUGAACAUGAAGAUAAUUAUCACUCACCACGCCUGAUCAUCAUUCACCACUCAACAUCUUUCACUCCAGCUCACACUUGAAGCCUUCGGCUACCAACUGAAGGGGGAGGUUCAUCAUGCCAGUGGCGUUCCAGCCGUCGUAGUUAGCCAAGCAGUUUCAUUGCUCUUAGGAGUAAAAACAAUCUACUUUAUGGUUUACAUUUUUAUUUCGGUUUAGAUCUUGCUACUGUUUCGUUUUUCGGAUCUCCAUAGUCAAACUCUAGGUUGAUUUCAUUUUGUUGUUGGAUCCUUUGGAUCUUGAUUUCAUUUUAUGGUAUGAAGUUUUUAUUUGGUUCA